rnacentral:rRNA from 1 species
AGUGAACGCUGGCGGUAGGCCUAACACAUGCAAGUCGAACGGCAGCACAGUAAGAGCUUGCUCUUACGGGUGGCGAGUGGCGGACGGGUGAUGAAUACAUCGGAAUCUACUUUUUCGUGGGGGAUAACGUAGGGAAACUUACGCUAAUACCGCAUACGACCUACGGGUGAAAGCAGGGGAUCUUCGGACCUUGCGCGAUUGAAUGAGCCGAUGUCGGAUUAGCUAGUUGGCGGGGUAAAGGCCCACCAAGGCGACGAUCCGUAGCUGGUCUGAGAGGAUGAUCAGCCACACUGGAACUGAGACACGGUCCAGACUCCUACGGGAGGCAGCAGUGGGGAAUAUUGGACAAUGGGCGCAAGCCUGAUCCAGCCAUACCGCGUGGGUGAAGAAGGCCUUCGGGUUGUAAAGCCCUUUUGUUGGGAAAGAAAAGCAGCAGGUUAAUACCCCGCUGUUCUGACGGUACCAAAAGAAUAAGCACCGGCUAACUUCGUG